UAAUACGGAGGGUGCAAGCGUUAUCCGGAUUCACUGGGUUUAAAGGGUGCGUAGGCGGGUUGGUAAGUCCGUGGUGAAAUCCCCAAGCUUAACUUGGGAACUGCCGUGGAUACUAUCAAUCUUGAAUAUCGUGGAGGUAAGCGGAAUAUGUCAUGUAGCGGUGAAAUGCUUAGAUAUGACAUAGAACACCAAUUGCGUAGGCAGCUUACUACACGAUCAUUGACGCUGAGGCACGAAAGCGUGGGGAGCAAACAGG
rnacentral:rRNA from 1 species